rnacentral:rRNA from 1 species
UACGUAGGGGGCAAGCGUUGUCCGGAUUUAUUGGGCGUAAAGAGCGUGUAGGCGGCCAAGCAGGUCAGCUGUGAAAACUCGAGGCUCAACCUCGAGACGUCGGUUGAAACCGCUUGGCUAGAGUCCGGAAGAGGAGAGUGGAAUUCCCGGUGUAGAGGUGAAAUUCGUAGAUAUUAGGAGGAACACCGGUGGCGAAGGCGGCUAUCUGGACGACAACUGACGCUGAGGCGCGAAAGCACGGGGAUCAAACAGG